ACUCCUACGGGAGGCAGCAGUGAGGAAUAUUGGUCAAUGGAGGGAACUCUGAACCAGCCAUCCCGCGUGUAGGAAGACGGCCUUAUGGGUUGUAAACUACUUUUAUACAGGAAGGAAACGUACCCUCAGUGAGGGGCCUGACGGUACUUGNAGGAAUAAGCACCGGCUAAACUCCGUGCCAGCGANCCGCGGUAAUACGGAGGGUGCGAGCGUUAUCCGGAUUUAUUGGGUUUAAAGGGUCCGUAGGCGGAUUAAUAAGUCAGUGGUGAAAUCCCAUCGCUUAACGAUGGAACUGCCAUUGAUACUGUUAGUCUUGAAGGGGUG
rnacentral:rRNA from 1 species